rnacentral:rRNA from 1 species
CUGGCGGCAGCUUACCAUGCAAGUCGAGGGGCACAGGGGUAGCAAUACCUGCUGGCGACCGGCAAACGGGUGCGCAACACGUACAGAACCUUCCUUUAAGCGGGGGAUAGCCCGGAGAAAUCCGGAUUAAUACCCCAUAGUAUUAUUGAUUGGCAUCAAUUGGUAAUUAAAGAUUUAUCACUUAAAGAUGGCUGUGCGUCUGAUUAGGUAGUUGGUUGAGGUAACGGCUCACCAAGCCAACGAUCAGUAACUGGUGUGAGAGCACGACCAGUCACACGGGCACUGAGACACGGGCCCGACUCCUACGGGAGGCAGCAGUAAGGAAUAUUGGUCAAUGGACGCAAGUCUGAACAGCCAUGCCGCGUGAAGGAUGAAGGUCCUCUGGAUUGUAAACUUCUUUUAUAUGGGAAGAAAUGCCUGCUUUAUAGCGGGUUUGACGGUACCAUAGGAAUAAGCACCGGCUAACUCCGUGCCAGCAGCCGCGGUAAU